GUGGGGAAUAUUGGACAAUGGGCGAAAGCCUGAUCCAGCCAUGCCGCGUGUGUGAAGAAGGUCUUCGGAUUGUAAAGCACUUUAAGUUGGGAGGAAGGGCAGUAAGUUAAUACCUUGCUGUUUUGACGUUACCGACAGAAUAAGCACCGGCUAACAUCGUGCCAGCAGCCGCGGUAAUACGAAGGGUGCAAGCGUUAAUCGGAAUUACUGGGCGUAAAGCGCGCGUAGGUGGUUUUGUAAGUUGGAGGUGAAAUCCCCGGGCUCAAACUGGGAACUGCCUCCAAAACUGCAUGACUAGAGUGCGGUAGAGGGUAGUGGAAUUUCCUGUGUAGCGGUGAAAUGCGUAGAUAUAGGAAGGAACACCAGUGGCGAAGGCGACUACCUGGACUGAUACUGACACUGAGGUGCGAAAGCGUGGGGAGCAAACAGGAUUAGAUACCCGUGUAGUCC
rnacentral:rRNA from 1 species